UAGGACUACCAAUUUCAAGAUCAAAGUCUUU
rnacentral:piRNA from 1 species